rnacentral:lncRNA from 1 species
CUCCGGGCUCCCUGCCUCUCCCUCCCCUCCCAACCGCCCAUUUCUUCUUGCAGUUCCAAGAUCCAGGUCCCGCCCGGUGGUUCCGGAUCUGCGUCGCCGGUCAGAUCCGUGCGCGCCGCUCGUUCCCCCGCCGGCCUCGGUACGCUGGCAGGUCUCACCGACGCCCGUCGGCCAGGCGGCGGUGGCGGUGGCGGGGCGCCACUAUCCGACGUCUCAGCGCCGGCGGCCGGCCUCUGGCUGUUCCGCGGUGAGAUCUUUUGAACCGUCCGGGUGCUGUUUUCCUCCUCUGACCUCUCGGUCGGCCCUCUUCACAAGCUCCGGCGAGAUCUUGGGACGCAUCCGUACGGGGAUCGCGGUUCACGGGAAGGCCGACGAGGAGUUCCUGGCUCGUACGAGACCCUGAAUCUCCGAUCCUGUUCAAAAGGUACGUGGCCUUGCAGUGUUCAAGAAGUCUCGGUUCGUGCCUGAUUCGCUCUCUAUGCCGUCGCGUCUCGCGACGCAGAGUCUGUUUUUCUUGCUCGAAUCCCAAGCUCCCCUGACGGCUGACGCCCUGACGCUGCCCUGCUGCUCUGCUCUGACAAUAUUUUCAGCGACGAACCAAACGCCGAAACGCGUACUGCCGUACUCCUAGUGCAUUCGGCCUUGUUUAGUGCCUGAAUUUGGGUGUCCAAAAUUACUGUUGUAGCACUGUAGCACAUUGUAACGUUUCGUUUGUAUUUGUGAAUUAUUGUCCAAAUAUUGACUAAUUAGGCUCAAAAGAUUCGUCUCGCAAAGU